GACGAACCGUGCGAACGUUGUUCGGAAUCACUGGGCUUAAAGGGCGCGUAGGCGGCACACCAAGUCCGGGGUGAAAGCUUUCGGCUCAACCGGAAAAGGGCCUUGGAUACUGGGGUGCUCGAGGGAGGUAGGGGCGGCCGGAACUUCCGGUGGAGCGGUGAAAUGCGUAGAUAUCGGAAGGAACGCCGGUGGCGAAAGCGGGCCGCUGGACCUCUUCUGACGCUGAGGCGCGAAAGCCAGGGGAGCGAACGGG
rnacentral:rRNA from 1 species